rnacentral:rRNA from 1 species
AUUGAACGCUGGCGGCAGGCCUAACACAUGCAAGUCGAACGAGUGGCGGACGGGUGAGUAAUGUCUGGGAAACUGCCCGAUGGAGGGGGAUAACUACUGGAAACGGUAGCUAAUACCGCAUACCAUCGGAUGUACCCAGAUGGGAUUAGCUAGUCGGUGGGGUAACGGCUCACCUAGGCGAGGAUCCCUAGCCGGUCGGAGAGGAGGACCAGCGCAACUGGAACUGGGACAUGGUCCAGACUCCUACGGGAGGCAGCAGUGGGGAAUAUUGCACAAUGGGCGCAAGCCUGAUGCAGCCAUGCCGCGUGUAUGAAGAAGGCCUUCGGGUUGUAAAGUACUUUCAGCGAGGAGGCGUUACUCGCAGAAGAAGCACCGGCUAACUCCGUGCCAGCAGCCGCGGUAAUUC